UGUGGUUCAAUUCGACGCUACGCGAAGAACCUCACCAGGGUUUGACAUAUAGGUAGUAGGAACCUGAAAGGGAGACGACUCGUUAAGCCGAGUGCCUAUACAGGUGUUGCAUGGCUGUCGUCAGCUCGUGCCGUGAGGUGUUGGGUUAAGUCCCGCAACGAGCGCAACCAUCAUCCUUAGUUGCUACCGAGGGAUCCGAAAGGGUCCUGGCGAGCACUCUAAGGAGACUGCCCGUGAUAAACGGGAGGAAGGUGGAGAUGACGUCAAGUCCGUAUGGCCCUUAUACCCUGGGCUACACACGUGUUACAAUGGGAUGUACAGAGCGUUGCCAAACCGCGAGGUGGAGCUAAUCGCAAAAAGCAUCCCCCAGUUCAGAUUGGAGUCUGCAACCCGACUCCAUGAAGUUGGAAUUGCUAGUAACGGCGGAUCAGCUACGCCGCCGUGAAUACGUUCCCGGGCCUU
rnacentral:rRNA from 1 species